AUUGAACGCUGGCGGCAGGCCUAACACAUGCAAGUCGAGCGGAGCGGCGGACGGGUAAGUAAUGCCUAGGAAUCUGCCUGGUAGUGGUGGAUAACGUCCGGUAAUGGGCGCUAAUACCGCAUCCUAUCAGAUGUGCCUAGGUCGGAUUAGCUAGUUGUGGGGGUAAAGGCCUACCAAGGCGACGAUGCGUAUCUGGUUUGAGAGGAUGAUCAGGCACACUGGAACUGAGACACGGUCCAGACUCCUACGGGAGGCAGCAGUGGGGAAUAUUGGACAAUGGGCGAAAGCCUGAUCCAGCCAUGCCGCGUGUGUGAAGAAGGUCUUCGGAUUGUAAAGCACUUUAAGUUGGGAGGCGUUACCAACAGAAGAAGCACCGGCUAACUUCGUGCCAGCAGCCGCGGUAAUUC
rnacentral:rRNA from 1 species